UGUUACCCUUACCCGCUCCCGCUUGUUCAUAUAGACUCAUAAGGCCUACCCCUGAAACGCCCUCAUUGAUAAUAUCAAUUAGCAUCUGAAUCCACCUAAUAUUUCAAUCUCAUUCCGCUCAGUAACAAAUCCAAGCUCCGCCUUGUGCUUUCCUUCAACGGUUCCCGCAGUUGUUUUUGCAAGAUUGCUGAAAUCCAAUUAUAUCUAAGUCUCAGGUUUGCUUUCUCCUCGUUUCCUUAGAAAUCAUUUCAGAAGAUAAUGAUGAUGAUCGAUUUCAGCUCGUUUUCUCCUACCUACGCUUCCUCUCCUGCCAUUAGAUUUCUCGUGUUUCUUCUCGCCCACUUUUCGAUAAUUCGGAAGCUUUCUCUGUUUCUGGAAUUGCUCCGUCGCGGUUAUCUUCACUUAUCUGAUACUUAGGUUUAGGUUUUAAUUAGGGUUAUUCAAGGAUUGCUCAUGAAAGUGGGCUUUUGAUGAUUGGAUUUUUCCUGGAAUUUCAAGGACCAGAAAAUUGAAAGUCGAGGGCUUUGGUAUUGGUGAAAAGGGAAAAUCUAUAACAUGGAAUUAAAUUUUUGUAGUAUUUAUUCUAUUUCGGAUAUACCUUGAAAAAACAUGUUUAGGCCUUAGGGUUUUUUUUUUUUGGUGAGAACGCAAAAAAGAGUAUGCUGGAAGAAUAAUAUUCUCUACUUUGUUUCUUGAUUUUGGAGAUCGGCUGCUAUUUUUGGUUGGCUCCUGGUCGAUUUCAAAAAAUAUCCAGCUGUCUGUAAUUUUGGACUUACUACUUUUUGAUUAUGUGCAAAUAUGAGAUUCCCAGAGUUUAGUGUUUGUUUAGGAUUUAAUUAUGGUUAUCUAUGGCUUGCUGAGCAAUUGGAUUUUGGUGGAAUUCGAGGCUUUGGUCUGUGGGCUUGUGUUCUCUGUAUUGGAGAUACUUAUUUUGUCCUGCAACAGAUUGAAUGAAAUGCACAGGAGACUGCGGACUGUUUGUGAAUCAUUAUUUCUAGUUUGGACCUUCUUCAAAGGAGUUGAUUUGAUAUUUUUUGGAUCUUCUUCGCAAGAUUGACCUUGCCAAAGCUUGUGGAUUUUACCUGAUUUGAAAUCUGUUCUAAGUUUGGAUAUAAUUUGAAGGAAUCAAAUUGGUGUUUGGAUCAUCUUCAGAAGAAACUGUAAUUGAUUUGUAUACAUCUUUUGUCUAUAGCAUGGGAAUUAGACGAGCAGCAAGAAGAUAUGAUGAUGACAGUGUAGAAAGACUUUCUGUUCGACAUAAAGGAGAAGCAGUAAACAUCAAUGAUUACCAUAGAAAUGCCAAGCCAUACCAUGCUACAUCAGAAGAUCUAUUAGGAAAGAGCUCCAGUCAUCGUCCUAAGAAUUCAUGUGUUUCGACUAUAAAGGCCCGAGAGAAAGAAAAUAAGGUUUGCAAGUACUGGAUGUCAGGCUACUGUGCCAGAGGCGAUAAAUGCUGGUAUUUGCAUUCAUGGUAUUGUGGGGAUGGAUUCACGAUGUUGGCAAAGCUGGAGGGCCACAAGAAGGCUGUUCAUGGAAUUGCUCUUCCUCUAGAGUCUGAGAAGCUCUAUUCUGGCAGUAGUGAUGGAACUGUACGGACAUGGGACUGCCACUCUGGAAAGUGUGUUCAUUUGAGUAAUCUUGGUGAUGAAGUUGGUUCUUUGAUUAGUGAGGGCCCAUGGGUGUUCAUUGGUAUGAAAGGUGUUGUUAAGUUAUGGAAUAUUCAAACAGCGGAUGAAUUGAGUCUAAAAGGGCCUGUUGGACAAGUAUAUUCUAUGGUUGUUGCUAAUACCAUGCUUUUUGCUGGGGCACAGAAUGGUGUUAUUUUUGCGUGGAAAGGCAGUUCUGAGGCCAAUCCUUUUCAACUAGUUGCAUCCAUGGAGGCUCAUUCCGGUGCUGUAUUAUGUUUAACUGUUAGAGAAAAAAAGUUAUAUUCUGGUUCUGUGGAUCACACUAUAAGGGUCUGGGACAUGGACACAUUACAGUGCAUUAAGACAUUGAAUGGACAUGAGGAUGCUGUGAUGUCUCUUCUUUACUGUAAUGGGUGUUUGUUCUCAUGUUCACUGGACUGCACUAUAAAAGUUUGGUUUGCUACAGAAGGAGAAAAUUGGGAAGUGAUCUAUACUCAUAAGGAAGAAAAUGCACAGUGUUAUUGAGGAGCUAGGAACAAGGAAAACAAUCACUUCUCAUCUAGGUGAUUGAAUGUUGUUAUAUUCAGAGUGCUGUGCAAUUGAUAAACUGCUAGGAGAGGCAAGGAACCUUUGAGGCACGGGCGUGCUAGCACUUUGUGGCAUGAAUGAUGCAGAAACUAAACCAGUUUUGUUCUGCUCCUGCAAUGACAACACUGUUCGCCUGUAUGACUUGCCGUCGUUUACUGAGAGAGGCAGGUUAUAUUCAAAACAAGA